rnacentral:rRNA from 1 species
UACCAGCACCCCGAGUGGUCGGGACGAUUAUUGGGCCUAAAGCAUCCGUAGCCGGUCAUGCAAGUCCUCCGUUAAAUCCACCUGCUUAACAGAUGGGCUGCGGAGGAUACUACAAGGCUAGGAGGCGGAAGAGGCAAGCGGUACUCAGUGGGUAGGGGUAAAAUCCUCUGAUCCAUUGAAGAACCACCAGUGGCGAAAGGCGGC